rnacentral:ncRNA from 20 species
UCCUAAGAUGAUAUUCUUUACGAGCUUUUUGGACGUUAGACUUCUUAAGUAGAUUAGGUUAUCUUGUGAAAGAGAAACUCACCCCAACAAGUCUACAU